rnacentral:tRNA from 1 species
GGUGUAGUGGCGGAAUGGUAGACGCACACAAAAAGAUGGGCUGAUAGUGGUCGGGCAACGCAAGUUGCGGAGGACGCUCCUCGGAAAGCAGUCGUGCAGGUUCGAAUCCUGCCUACACCA